rnacentral:rRNA from 1 species
GACGAACGCUGGCGGCGUGCCUAAUACAUGCAAGUUGAGCGCUGAAGGUUGGUACUUGUACCGACUGGAUGAGCAGCGAACGGGUGAGUAACGCGUGGGGAAUCUGCCUUUGAGCGGGGGACAACAUUUGGAAACGAAUGCUAAUACCGCAUAAAAACUUUAAACACAAGUUUUAAGUUUGAAAUAUGCAAUUGCAUCACUCAAAGAUGAUCCCGCGUUGUAUUAGCUAGUUGGUGAGGUAAAGGCUCACCAAGGCGAUGAUACAUAGCCGACCUGAGAGGGUGAUCGGCCACAUUGGGACUGAGACACGGCCCAAACUCCUAAGGGAGGCAGCAGUAGGGAAUCUUCGGCAAUGGACGAAAGUCUGACCGAGCAACGCCGCGUGAGUGAAGAAGGUUUUCGGAUCGUAAAACUCUGUUGGUAGAGAAGAACGUUGGUGAGAGUGGAAAGCUCAUCAAGUGACGGUAACUACCCAGAAAGGGACGGCUAACUACGU